rnacentral:rRNA from 2 species
GUUGGUGGCUCAUGUGGCGGGGGUACACCCGGUCCCUUUCCGAACCCGGCAGUUAAGCCCGCUAGCGCCGAUGGUACUGCACUGGUAACGGUGUGGGAGAGUAGGUGGCCGCCAACU